rnacentral:lncRNA from 1 species
UUCUAUCACCACUUUUAAUCUUCUCUAAACCUCUCUCUACCCCUCUUUAAUCUGUCUUCUGGAGAGUACGACGAUGACAGCCACUGAAACAACAACCGGUGAAUUGAUGGAUUCAAUCAAAAUCGAUGGACAGGAAAGGGGAUAAAGCACCAGAAACUUCACUCGCUCAACAGUUCCUUAAAUUUGCGUCGACUGUAGCCGAAUUCAAUCUUCAAACAUUUCCAAACUAUACAUAAUUGCUUGGGAAUGCUGUACUCAACCACCGAUUCUUCCAUCAUCAUACCUCAACAGUCCAUCGGAUUUUGACUAAUCGGUAGCUUCCAGCUCCUAUUCCACCUCCAUCGACGAGGGUUUUUCUACCUCUCUCUAUAGUCGAUCGUUGCCAACGUCGCUCAAUUGGGUUCAGCUACUAAGGGUAAGCUUGGUUUUUUUUCUCGAUUUUACACUGAUUUCUGCUACUUUGAUGAUCUGCUUCUCGUUAUCAAGAAGAAUGGUCUGCUUUUAGAGGAUGUAUCGAGAAUUAAAUAUAAAAAAGAAAAGUAUGUCGCUUUUUUACAUCAGAAUAUACACAGUUUCCUUCAAUCAGCUGCUUUCCUUUGAUGAUCUGUUUAACAUAAUAUUGCUACAGGGGUUUGAAGUUAUAAGUGAUGCUUGAUGCCCUUUUUGUUAAGGGUAAAUGUGUCAAUAUUGAAUUAAGUAGAAACUCGAGGGCUGAUGCACACUUGGUCAUAUUGUGAAGGGUAAAUAUGUCAAUAUUGAGUGUAGUAUAAAGUGUAGGUGUGAGGGGUGCAAAUGAGCCAAGCUACUCGCGAGCUAUUCGGGAUCGGUUCGUUAAAAGCUCGACUCGAAACCGAUUUUAAACGAGCCCGAGCCGAGCUCGAGCUUAAUAUUUAGCUCGUUUAUAAAACGAGCUCGAGCUCGAGCCUCUGUAACUAAGCUCGAUUAGGCUUGCGAGCCUAAACGAGCCUUUAUAAAAUAUAAUUUAUUAUUAUUUUCUUAUAUUAAUAUAAAAACAUAUUUGGGAAAUUAUGGAUUUCGGUUAUUAGUAAACGAGCUUCUUAACGAGCUUGAGCCGAACUUAAGCUUAUUUAGACACAUCACACGAAAAACGAGCCGAGCCCCAAGCCCGAGCCGAGCUUGUAUAAUUCUUUAUGAGCUCAAGCCGAGCUCAGUAAAAGAAAGCUCGAAUCGAGCCGAGCUCGAACUCGAGCCUCGUAUAACUUAAACAAGCCCGAGUCGAGCCUGGCUCGGGCUCGUUUGCACCCGUAGGUGUGAUGCACUCUUGCUCAAAACUUAACUUUAUCAUUCUUCAAAUCGGAAUUUUAGAUUGUUGUGGUUUGUUUCCAGAAUUGUGAGAUUUGACUUUUGUCAUAUUGACUAAUUUGAAUGGAAUUUUUCAUGAUUUGUCCGUACUUGGUCCAGUAAAGUGCAUAAUAAGAUUUGGUCAAAAGGUUGAAGUUUGAAUUUAUAUUGAUCUAUUUUGUUUUACUUUUGAUGUGAAUGUUAGCCACCAUAAGAUUUGGCUGCUUUAAUUCAUUUCUAAUUGCUGCUAUUUAAAAUGGGUUAACUAACAAUGUACUUUCAAUUAUGUUUCCACUUGUAGCAAUAAAAAUUUAUGUUACAAAUGACAUUUUCCAAAACAUUUUUUUUCAUGUAACGCAACUACAUUUGAAAAUCUGAAAAAAAAAAGUGUCUUCCGAACAAUACGAAGCAUGUGUCCCUGCACUAGUUUAUAAUAAAAUUUUAUAGUUUAUAGAAUCAUUAUAAUUUAAAAAGAAAAUGUAAAUUGACCAUUUUGGUCCAUAAUAUCAAAACCCCUUUUGACAUAAAAUGAAUUGACCAAUUCGAAAUUGACCUUAAUUUAUAUUUGUUUCAAAUGAAGAAGGAAGCCAAGGAACAAAGUUUAGGAGUUUGCAUCAGUAAUUGUGAAGAAAGGAGAAUUUAACAUCAUUUUUUAGUUCAUUUUCUAUCCACAACAAUUAGCCAAAGGAAAAGUAAAAUAUAGAAACAUAAGCUAAUGCAUUAUAGCAAAACGAACUCAGCUAAAAAUGAUAUUAGAUAUUGAGCAAAGCAAAAGAAAGAACUAGUGCGUUUCCAAUGUAAAUACAACCCUAAAACCCCUCUGAUCAGAUUGAACCCAGACGAUUCCAGACGACGAAAAAUCUUUCUGAAGGCGAUUUCUGAUGCUUUUCAUCACUUUCUGAAUAUCUGAAGGCUGUUGAUCAUCUCCUACAUUUAGUUUAGCAAGAUUAAUAAGUUAUUAUAUAUGUUUAUUAGUUUUAUUCAGAUUUUAGGCAUGUAUGGCUAUAACCCUAUUUUUCAGUUCUAUAAUAGACUAAUAUUUUUCAUGUGACCAGUUAUCAGAUUUGAUUCCCAUUGUGUACUUAUAUCUACUUGUUUCAGUUCCGAACUUAAUGAAUAUUUGAUUUUUAAUUCUUGUUAGGCUGGUCACUUAGCUAGGGUUUAAUCAUUCCAGUUAACUAGUUGUCGAAAUCCGUAAUUGUUUUUACAAUCUGGUAAUAAGCAACAAGUAAUAAAUCAGUUCUAUGUUUGGAUUUGACUUUAUUAAACUGAAAUUUCAUACUUUUACGCUUCCGAGCUUGUGAGAAGUAUUGAGUAUUCCUGGGAAUUUCACACAGAUCUUAAUGCAACUUUUCUGAUCUUAGUUAGGAGCUUGUUUAAUUAGACAGUAAAAAGUUAGGGUUAACUGAAAAUGUUGUUUUGGUUAAUUUAACUAGGUAAAAGAGAUUUUAUUAGAGCUUGUUAGUUUUCUCAAUAUGAAUUUAGAUAGAAUGCAUUUUAAAUAACAAUAUAUGGGUUGAUUGCAUGACUAGGAAAUUUGUAGCAGAACUGAAUUCAUUUUUAUUAUUGAUUUCAUUUAGUUUAUUUCACUACAAUUUUAGUCAAUAGUUAAUAAUCAACCCCUCCCCUUUUUUUAUAUAUAUUUUCUAUUUUGACUAGUAUGUGUAUUAUGCAAAGAGACAUUGGCCAUUAGAUUGUGUCUCUGAUGAUUCGACUCUGCCUCCUUGUGUUAUCAUUUAGUGCAUUUGAGAAGUGAAAUUUUAUUUGCUUAAAUCUUGUGCGACAACAGUUUAACAAAUUGGCACGACAGGAUGGUAGGGUUGUGUGGAUCAACUCCCCUCUUUUUUCUUCGUGGCUUGGAGGUUAACAUGUCAUGAUAAAUAUGAUGAUAGGUGGUGUUUCAGCUAUGUGAUAUGUAUGAUGGAGCAAGAUGAUGGUAGCGAUCCAUUGAAGAUGAUUUUUGUCAGGGGUCUUUGUUGCAGAUUUAAUGGUGUAAAUACAGUAAAGGGUUGAAGAUAAUGGUGAUGACGGUGUUGAUGAUCUCAUAGGGUUAAGUUGAUGAAGGUUGAUAAUGGUUAAAGGUGUUAUGUUGUGUAGGAGGUUGAAGAUGAAGAUAAGGGGAUGCCUUCAAAGCUAAUGAUGGUGGGAUGUCGUUUAGGGGCAAUAUGGUCAAUGUACAUUUCUUUUUAAAUUAUAAUGAUUCUAAAAUAUAAAAAUUGAUAAGAAAUUAUUAAAAAAACGUUAAUAGAUUAUAAAUUGUUACAUAGUAUUUCAAAAAUGGAUUUUACUUUCAAGAAAUAUUAUAUUUUGAAAGUUUAUAAAGAUAGAUACGAUAUAGUGAUUUAACGUUGAGCAAAGAUGAUAUUUUGAUACUUAAUAAAGUCAUAUACAAAAUUCACACAAAUAUAAAAAUACUCUAGUGUAGAGCAAAGACAAGGGUAUAUAAUUUUACCGGACAAAUUGAUAUGCAGUACACGAAUCAUUGGGGAAGAAAAAGGAAACCAUAUAGAUAAUCCAAAUGA